rnacentral:ncRNA from 1 species
CAUCGCGAUGCUCUUCAAUCUUGGAGAGAUCGUGAUGCGGAUACUAUCAAAAAAGCAGGUGAAGGAGUUGGUCUUGUACUCACCUCAGCACAUCGCACGGAUGGAAAAAGCCGGGACGUUCCCUAAGCGGAUACAACUUGGCCCAAACCGGGUGGGAUGGGUGGAAGACGAAGUGCUGGACUGGCUUCAGCCCCGGCUGGAAAGCAGAUAGCCUCUUGCGGUGCUCCCCACUUGGGAGCAGGGAGAUGGUCAGGUGUGCACAACUU